rnacentral:lncRNA from 1 species
GAAAAGGUAAAAAUAUAUUUAUUCAAAGUCACAAAAAUGAUGAAUGAAAAAUUUUACAGGUUCCUAAUUAAAAUUAAUACGGCGACGUAAGCGGCGAGGGACCUGAUCCGACGUCGGCCACGUGGAGGGACAACAGAAGAAGAGGCGGGCGGAAGAUCGCCACCAGACCAUUCUUCAAAAAUAGAUUCCCUAGCAGCAACAGCAACACUCUGUCGCUCAACAAUAAGCUGGCGCAGAAAAGGAAGAUCCAAGGUCGACGACCGAGGAUCCAAAAUAUUCAAAAUUCGAUGCAGCUCCUCAAUCUCUCCCUGAAUAAAAUCAGCAAAGAGACUCACAAGAAGAG